UGAGCUACACAGAAUCCUCUUUGUCAAAUGUAAUUGCUAUUUGGCUCUUGCUGUGUUUUGGAGUGUAUUAUUUAUUCCGCUACUGAACAAUUAAGUAUGUGAGAGGGAAUUUAAUAACUACAGCAAUAGUGUUAUUAACAGAUAUUACAAUGCAUUGACAGAUUGUAGCUAGAGAUAAGAUUGUUUGUGAUAGACUGUUUUUUGAUUGUAGUUGUUACUUCAAACAUUAAAAUGAGCCAUGUAGAUCUGCAGUACAACAACACACUCCCCACUUUGCUGCACAGGUACGGAAAUGACAUCUGUCAUUCCAUCCACUCAAGAUCAGCUGAUGCUAUGGACCUCAGUCUGAUGCUGGUGCUACACCUGUGUAUCGUACACGACCUGGAGCUGAAGGGUAGGGACUGUGAUGUUCUGAGGCAGUUAAUGACACGAGGUGGACCUGUCUUCCUCCAGAGACCUCACAAGAAUUUAUUCUUUGACAGAACACGCCUUAUGGCACGUUUCAACUGGACAAAGAAGCAAUACAGUUUGGUGAGAAUUGGGUUUGAUAAAAAUGUACAUAAGUGGAAUCAUGUUGUUAGUCUAAUGAAGAUUACCAGAGUUUAGUACUUGUGGUGAACUGAGCCAUUCAGUUGUAUAUAUAUAUAUAUAGAAAAGUAUGUAGUCUUGUGUGCUCUGAAGACUUCCAGGUUGAGUAACUCCUGGAAGAGUUCCUUGACAUUGUGGUUGGUCUUAGCCGAGGUCUCCAUGAAGUGACAGCCCCAUCGCGCUGACUCAGCCUCUCCCUCGGACGCUGCCACCUCGCGGUUUUCAUUU